UGAGGAUCUUGCUAAGAAACUUAAAGCCAUUAUGAUCAAGAAAGUCAGGGGUCUAUGAGGAGGUUGCAUUUUACACAAAAAAUGGUCGUCAGAAGUUGUGUUGGAAUGGAAGCAGUUUUCAAGCAACAGUUGGAUGCAACAUUUUCUUAUGAUUUUAUUUUUCUGGGAUAAUUUAUUUAAUAUGCUG
rnacentral:sRNA from 1 species